rnacentral:rRNA from 1 species
GGUUACUGCUAUCGGGGUCCGACUAAGCCAUGCGAGUUGAGAGGGGUAAGCCCUCGGCAUACUGCUCAGUAACACGCGGAUAACCUGCCCUUGGGUCCGGGAUAACCCCGGGAAACUGGGACUAAUACCGGAUAGAUCAGAGAAACUGGAAUGUUCUCUGGUUCAAAACUCCGGUGCCCAAGGAUGGGUCUGCGGCCUAUCAGGUAGUAGUGGGUGUAACGUACCUACUAGCCAGCGACGGGUAAGGGUUGUGAGAGCAAGAUCCCUGAGAUGGAUUCUGAGACAUGAAUCCAGGCCCUACGGGGUGCAGCAGGCGCGAAAACUUUACACUGCGGGAAACCGCGAUAGGGGGACCCCGAGUGCCAGCACCUAGUGCUGGCUGUCCUACUGUCUAAAUAACAGUGGUUAGCAAGGGCCGGGCAAGACCGGUGCCAGCCGCCGCGGUAACACCGGCGGCCCGAGUGGUAACCGUUUUUAUUGGGUUUAAAGGGUCCGUAGCCGGCUUACUAAGUCUCUUGGGAAAUCUGGCGGCUCAAUCGUCAGGCGGCCAAGAGAUACUGGUAGGCUUGGGACCGGGAGAGGUGGGAGGUACUCCAGGGGUAGGGGUGAAAUCUCGUAAUCCUUGGGGGACCACCGAUGGCGAAGGCAUCCCACCAGAGCGGGUCCGACGGUGAGGGACGAAAGCUGGGGGCACGAACCGGAUUAGAUACCCGGGUAGUCCCAGCUGUAAACGAUGCUCGCUAGGUGUCAGGUGCGGUGCGACCGCAUCUGGUGCCGCAGUGAAAACUUGAAGCGAGUCACCUGGGAAGUACGGUCGCAAGGCUGAAACUUAAAGGAAUUGGCGGGGGAGCACUACAACGGGUGGAGCCUGCGGUUC